UACCCACAACACACAAAAGCCCUAAUCUCUCAAGAGCAAACGACGCCUCACUGUUCCUCUUCUCCAAACAACCCAAAUCACCCUCUGCCUCGCCCAAACUCGCCCGAGUUCACCCCAAAAGCUCACCUCACGCGCUCCCCCCUUCUCUCCUCUUGCAAUAUGGGUGUAACGGCCUCUGACAACAACAAGAUUCCCUCCUUCACUCGCCCGUUUUCAAGCUAUUUCACGCGGUUGGAAGGAUCUAGAAGAUGGGUGUUGGAUGAGUGAGAGGCGUCGGAUCGAUCUCAUUCAAUCCGAGCCUCACAUUCAUCAUGUGCUCGUUUUCAAAAGGGCCUUAUCCGAUUUCUUGAAGAGGAAGAAAGAACCCGGAGGUUGGAUAUAUAAGGGAGCAUUUUCGGGUAAAAAAGGGGGGAUUCUUUUUUUAGAGAGGAUUUUCAGAGAGGUUUUCUUUUCUUUUUUUCGGAAGUUUGGAGAGGUAAAAAAAAAAAGAAAUUUCUAGAGCUCUUUGUUUUUUUCCAGAUUACUCACGUUUGGAUUGCAUUUCAGAAAAAUAAAAUACAAAAAAAAAAAAAUCGAGUUUGAUUUUUAUUCGAGCUUUGUUUCAGAAAAAUCAGAAAAUCAUCAAAAGAUUUCAACAUUUGUUUUGAUUUUUGGUUCUCAAGAAUGGAGUUUGAUUGAAGUUUAAGUGUGAGUCUGAGAUUUGGAGAGAAACAGUUAAAAAAAAUCCCUUAGUUUUUCCCUUUUGAGUUCUUCCGCAUUUUUCAGUUCGAUUCCGGAGAAGAAGGUUUUUUUAAAAAAUAUUUCAGUUUCUUUUUGCUUUGAUCUUAGUUUCGUUUCAAAAAUCUAAAAAAUCUAAAAAGAUUUCAUCCUCUUUCUCUGACUUCCUUCAAAAAUGAAGAUUGAUUGAGCCAAAAUCAAGGUUGCCAUUCUGUUUUGAUUCCUGCUUGUCUGCUGCUGUUGUUUCAAGUGUUCGUAGUCAGGUUUAUUUGUAUUCAAGUCCAAACAAGUUUAAUCGAAGAAUUUCGCAUUCUCAGCACCUGAUUGACGUUCGCACCAAUUGGCUUCCUUGUUUCAUGAUAAAAGGCACUUUAAUCUUCACGUUGUAAGAGUCAGGCAUCUGCUGCAUUCAUGAGCAGCUCCUUGGAAUAUUUUGUCUGUCUCCUGAGGUUGUACUUGAAAUAGGUUGGUUAAUGAUCGAGUUGAUUUUCAAAAGCAUAUGUUAUGUUCAUUCUUGUUAGAUCUUGGUCUAAAGUGGUGUUGAAACUCAAUUGUUUCACUGAUUGUACAUGUUCAGAUUGGCUCUAUUUUCCUUCUCUUGUUCGAAGUUUGUCUGCAUUGUUACUGCUAUAGGAAUUCUGCUCUUUCAAGCUGUUAAAAGGUCAAUUUGAGCAAUAAAUUAUGCUGAGAACGUGCAGUUUUUUGGACAUUUGUUUGGACUGUUAGACAUGCUGAAAAUCUGCCUUGUUUUGUACCGUUGGGGCAGCAUAUUUGCACAACUUUGAGCGUAAGUUUUGCAUUGAUUUGGUCUGCAGCAGCUCUGAAUUACUAGGCAGCUUACGUGUAUAACUGAAGUUUGUUUGGUUUCGCGAUCGUUUCAUUAAUCUUCUCUGUUUGUGA